AGAGGAUUUAUAAGGUUAUAUAGCUUUAUAGUUAUAACUUAUCGUCUCUGUCUUAUAUUGUUUAAAAUUUCAUUAUCCAUGAGUCUGUCAUCAAACAGCAUUUAUAAAGCAUUAUGCUCAGCACUGCUUGGUUUUAUAUAGGAUAUGAACAAAUAAAAAAAUGUUUUUGGCCUUUUGAGAAAUCUGUGGAAUGAAAAAGUAAACUUUAGCUUGGACUGUAAACAUCUGCCCUGCCAUUCAUCAGCUGGAAUAACAGAUAUGGUAAAACUAGCUUUAAAUUUAAUAGGAGUUUCUUCUAAAGACAGGCUGUAGCCAUACAAUGUCAUAACCCCCUUCUUUGUAGGAUGACUACUUUCUUAUUCACUGAGAAACUUUUCUUUGAAAUCACAAACCACCAGAAAUUGCUAUCUGAAAUUGUCUCAGGAAGAUAAAACUUCCCACCCAUACCUGGAUGGUCUAAGUCACUCAGGCUGGGGAUUUAGCUCAGUGGUUCUGACACCUGCCUUGCAAGUGCAAGGUCCCGAGUUCCAAAAACUCGGUAUCCAAAAACUUUGGUAUCGAUCCUUGGUACCAAAAUAAAACAAAACAGGAUCUAAGUCACUUGACAGAGAGAAGUGGCUUUGAUUUACAACUCAGAUGAAGAACUUUAGUUAAGGGCUUCUGGACAGUACACUCCAUAGCUAUGCUAACUUUGUUGUUUUUAAGGAAACAGGACCCUAGAUCUACUUCCUGGUAUGGAAUUGUUAUUGAUCUCUUUAAAUACAGUCUGCUUUAGUUUACACCUCUUCAUUUAAAUUUUACCUAAGCCCUACUUUCCUUUCCCUUGGUGGUGUGCUCCUGAGCUCCCUUAUUGUAGUGGGGCAAUAACCCUGUCUUCACUAUAGUGUAUGCUUGUGCCUGAUCGGCCUAGGACAGAGGACAAAAAUUAACACACAUGAAACAAUUCCAAGAUUAUAAUUAAAAGCCAAGUUAUCUUAGUUAAAUUGGGUUAGAGAUUACAUAAGAGGUGGGCUACUUGGACCUGGAAUAGCCAGGAAAUGUUUCCUGGAGUACUGGAGACUCAAGCUAGACCCUGAGGGGGAGGGGAACAAGUGGGCUCUGGUAGGAGUGAGAGCAGAGGAGACAUGAAGAUGGCAGAGGGUGUUACAUCUCAGCAUCUCAGCUGCCAGAACCUUUUUGAAUGUUUUCUUUUUAAACUUAUAAAAUUAUCUCUGUUUCUUAAACCCUCUAGGCUGUAUACAAUAUUGACUAAAUAGUUUCUGCAUAUUAACAUUUGACAUGGACUUAUGUUACAUUUUCGAAUAGCACUUUUAUUUUGACAGUAUUUACUGAAACUGAUUAUAUUCUGCCAUAUUUGAAGGUUUUUAUUUUUUCCACUGUGCUCUUGUAACUUCUGUGUAACUCUCCUAGGUCCUUUUUGGGUCUUAGGAUGAUGUCAGGGAAGGUAAAAUGGGAGGGCAUGAUUGGCUUCCCCUUCCAUAUGCUGGCCCUGUGGCAGGCCUUCUGCUCAGUCUUGCCAAGUCCAUGGAGGUUACAUGUUGAUUGCAUCAGUGUUUGUGGGUUGGGUAUGUCUAUUUCUGUCAAGUGAAUUUAUGUGUUUAAAUUCUGUAAAUUCCCUAUGUGUCAAAUUAUACUCUUAAGUCUUGCUUAUAUUUUAAAUUAGAUAAGACUAAAUUUAAGAAAAAUUAUGUCCUAAAUACAGUAGGUUUUAAUUGAAAUAAUAGCUAAUAGUUUAUAAUUUUAAAUGCUGAUUUUUUUUUUUUUUUGGUACGUCGAACUCAGGACCUUGACUUACAAGGCAGGCACAGUACUACUGAGCUAAAUCCCUGGCCCUAAAAUGCUGAUAUUUUAAUACAACUUUUUGAUGGAAAAGUCCUAAGUCUCUUUACCUGGCUGUACCUGCCUGGUGUAAGUCGCCUGGCAUGCUGAACUAGGAGGGAUAUGCGAAGGAGGAGGAAGGAUCCAUGAUCAAAGGACUCCAGAGGGCUACUCAUCAAGAUUCACAGUGCAUGCUAGCACAGCACUGGAAGGCUCUGACAGUUUAUGUGGAUUGUUUUAAGUUUCUUCAGCCCAGUAUUUCUUUAAUUUAUUUGCUCACAGCCACCCUUCUCUCCAGUGGAAUCUGUUCAGUUGUAUUUUAUGGAAAACACAUUAGAGGAAAUGUCUCCCUAGAUAUUUAAAUCUUAUCUUCAAGUGAAACCAGACCACCAUUCAACUGUGUGCUUUGUCUGCAUUCUUUUAGUUCAUAAAGAAUGCCAUUUAUUGAAUUGUGCUUUGUCAUGGGAAAUAGCCCUAAUGCAUCCUCCAGUGUCCUUUAUUAUAUGCCUUUUUACGAAGGCUCAGAGUUUCUCCUAGUUCUCAGAACUAGGACAGCUUCUGAAAGUAACUGGUUUGGUAUUUAUCUUAUAGCCACUAUGUGUGUGUAAUUCAGUGUGUAUAGCAAAUGCAAAUAGUAAGUAGGACUUUAAGCUAUAUAUCAUUAUGUAUUACUUUUAUUCUUGGAUUCAUGUUAUACUUUGUAAGAUUGUUUUCCUUUACUGUAAUCUUCUCUUUCAUUUUUAUCAAUCCUGUGUAAAUAAAAUUGCAGCAGAAAUAUAAAAUGUAUCAUCAUAAUAAUUUUCAAUGUACAAUUCAUCAGUGGCAACUCUACCGUGUGUGUGACAGAGUUCUAGAACUUUUCAUCUAUGCAGAAUUAAAAGUGUAUAUAAAUUGAACAAUUCCCUUAAUCUUGUAUAUGUUUUUAUUUAAGGGACCUCAGUCCUAUGUGUAAUGAAAUUAGAGGAAUUAAUGAAGUACAUAAAAUUUUAGAGUAAUAUUUUUAAAUGACAGUAACUAACAAUUCUAAGACAACUCAAAAUCUGUAUGAGUCGAAAUCAUAGAAAUCAUAGAAAUAAUAAAGUAGGAAAUGUAUCUGAAGUAUUUGACUGUUUACCAGCCCAAAUGCCCAUCAACUGUUGACUGGAUAAAGAAGAUGU